AUACGUAGGGUGCGAGCGUUGUCCGGAAUUACUGGGCGUAAAGAGCUCGUAGGUGGUUUGUCGCGUCGUCUGUGAAAUUCCGGGGCUUAACUCCGGGCGUGCAGGCGAUACGGGCAUAACUUGAGUACUGUAGGGGAGACUGGAAUUCCUGGUGUAGCGGUGAAAUGCGCAGAUAUCAGGAGGAACACCGGUGGCGAAGGCGGGUCUCUGGGCAGUAACUGACGCUGAGGAGCGAAAGCAUGGGUAGCGAACAGGAUUAGACACCCUGGUAGUCCAUGCCGUAAACGGUGGGCGCUAGGUGUAGGGGUCUUCCACGACUUCUGUGCCGUAGCUAACGCAUUAAGCGCCCCGCCUGGGGAGUACGGCCGCAAGGCUAAAACUCAAAGGAAUUGACGGGG
rnacentral:rRNA from 1 species